CCUUCACGUGCAGCCUGGGCGGGGUGCACAUGAUCGUCUCCAGCAUGCUGAGCCCCGUCUCGGCCUACUACCUGCCGCGCAUCUUCUGCUACAUCCUCUUCCAAUUCGCCGGUGCGUGCUGCUACGUGAUCAGCUGCAUCUCGAUCAUGCAGGAGAUCAAGAAAAUGUCUUCUCUUUGUAUCGUCGGGCUGAGCACGGGAGGGCUGCACGCUC
rnacentral:lncRNA from 1 species